CUGAAGAUGCUGAGAUGGGCCCUAAAAAGUUCUGCAGGCA
rnacentral:tRNA from 1 species